UACAGAGGUCUCGAGCGUUGUUCGGAUUCAUUGGGCGUAAAGGGUGCGUAGGCGGCGGGGUAAGUCUGAUGUGAAAUCCCGGGGCUCAACCCUGGAACUGCAUUGGAUACUGCCUUGCUAGAGAGCUGGAGAGGAAACUGGAAUUUACGGUGUAGCAGUGAAAUGCGUAGAGAUGUGGAGGAACACCAGUGGCGAAGGCGACUCUCUGGGCUGUAACUGACGCUGAGGCGCGAAAGCGUGGGGAGCAACAGG
rnacentral:rRNA from 1 species